rnacentral:rRNA from 1 species
GGGUUAGUAGGUCGGUCGUGCCACUGGUAUGUACUGGUUCUACUGAUCCCUCCUUCUUGUAGAACCGUAAUGCCAUUAAUUUGGUGUUGCGGGGAAACAGGACUGUUACUUUGAAAAAAUUAGAGUGUUUAAAGCAGGCUAACGCUUGAAUACAUUAGCAUGGAAUAAUGAAAUAGGACGAUCGAUCCUAUUUUGUUGGUUUCCAGGAUUGACGUAAUGAUUAAU